UCCACUCCGUGCUCAUCGCCUCAAGCUUGAAAAAAUUCUGGUCCAUCUUUGAAUGCAUCGACCUCAGCCUCCCCAACAAAUGCUCACACUCCGUCGUGAUCCUCUUACCCAACUCAAGAUCCUCGUCCUUAAUGCGAAGUUUCUCCUCGAGUUCGCUCUUACUAGGGAUAUUCUGCAUCAGUUCCAGGUCCCUUUCUUCCUACUCUUCACCAAGAGCCCAAUUACAGGGAUCCAUCCUCAGUCGCUCAUGCAUCUCGUGACAUUUAUCACGAUACCGACGGUACUUCUCC
rnacentral:lncRNA from 1 species